UGCCCUAUGGGUUGUAAACUGCUUUUAUAUAGGAAGAAAAACUUUCUCGUGAGAAAGCUUGACGGUACUAUAAGAAUAAGGAUCGGCUAACUCCGUGCCAGCAGCCGCGGUAGUACGGAGGAUCCAAGCGUUAUCCGGAAUCAUUGGGUUUAAAGGGUCCGUAGGUGGACAAAUAAGUCAGAGGUGAAAUCCUGCAGCUCAACUGUAGAACUGCCUUUGAUACUGUUUGUCUUGAGUUAUUAUGAAGUGGUUAGAAUGUGUAGUGUAGCGGUGAAAUGCAUAGAUAUUACACAGAAUACCGAUUGCGAAGGCAGAUCACUAAUAAUUAACUGACACUGAGGGACGAAAGCGUGGGUAGCGAACAGGAUUAGAUACCCUGGUAGUCCACGCCGUAAACGAUGGUCACUAGCUGUUUGGACUUCGGUCUGAGUGGCUAAGCGAAAGUGAUAAGUGACCCACCUGGGGAGUACGUUCGCAAGAAUGAAACUCAAAGGAAUUGACGGGGGCCCGCACAAGCGGUGGAGCAUGCGGUUUAAUUCGAUGAUACGCGAGGAACCUUACCAGGGCUUAAAUGUUAGGUGACAGAUCUAGAAAUAGAUUUUUCUUCGGACACUUAACAAGGUGCUGCAUGGUUGUCGUCAGCUCGUGCCGUGAGGUGUCAGGUUAAGUCCUAUAACGAGCGCAACCCCUGUUGUUAGUUGCCAGCGAGUAAUGUCGGGAACUCUAGCAAGACUGCCAGUGCAAACUGUGAGGAAGGUGGGGAUGACGUCAAAUCAUCACGGCCCUUACGUCCUGGGCUACACACGUGCUACAAUGGUAGGUACAGAGAGCAGCCAAUGCGCGAGCAUGAGCAAAUCUAUAAAACCUAUCUCAGUUCGGAUCGGAGUCUGCAACUCGACUCCGUGAAGCUGGAAUCGCUAGUAAUCGGAUAUCAGCCAUGAUCCGGUGAAUACGUUCCCGGGCCUUGUACACACCGCCCGUCAAGCCAUGGAAGUUGGGAGUGCCUGAAGUCCGUUUCCGCAAGGAUCGGCCUAGGGUAAAAUCGAUAACUAGGGCUAAGUCGUAACAAGGUAGCCGUACCGGAAGGUGCGGCUGGAACACCUCCUUUCU
rnacentral:rRNA from 1 species